UACGAAGGGGGCUAGCGUUGUCCGGAAUUACUGGGCGUAAAGAGCUCGUAGGUGGUUUGUCGCGUUGUUCGUGAAAACUCACAGCUCAACUGUGGGCGUGCGGGCGAUACGGGCAGGCUAGAGUUCGGCAGGGGAGACUGGAAUUCCUGGUGUAGCGGUGAAAUGCGCAGAUAUCAGGAGGAACACCGGUGGCGAAGGCGGGUCUCUGGGCCGAUACUGACGCUGAGGAGCGAAAGCGUGGGGAGCGAUCCGG
rnacentral:rRNA from 1 species